GGCAGUGGUUCAGCGAUAGAGUUUCUGCUUUCCAUGCAGAAUAUCCCAGCUUCCAAUCCUGGCAUCGCCA
rnacentral:tRNA from 1 species